GCGACGGCCCUGCCAGCACAGAACCCUUUGCUGUCCGUGCAGGCUUGGCUGUCUCGCUGAAGGGAGCUGUGCCAUGCCCGGCUGUCUCUCGGCCGGACGAGAGGUAAGCUCACAGGCGCAAGUGCCACGAACGCAGAGCCGCUCGCCCGUGGAGCUGUGGCAGGGAAGCGCUCCCGCAGGAAGCGCCCGAAGAUGCUGUCCCACGGCAGCCCUCUGCCACCCGGUAGGAAAGGGAGGGAAAAGUCCACACUGCAGUUUCCCUGUAGCACCACUGCAAUGGAGUUCAGCCCUAAUACGUGUAGUUUUAAGCCAAGUCUGUAAUCCGAUAACACAUGCGUCUUUAAAUCAGGAUCAUUGUUCAGUAGUUGCAGGGAGUCCGUCAAGUCACCCAGGCCGCCAGAACUGCAUGUAACAGGCAAAGAAUAUAAAAGACCUAAGUGCAUGGAGCUAGAGGAGCUGCUCCUUUGGCUGUAGUUGCUGAAGACCAGGAUCUAAGUCCCAAGAGGACAUAAAGCUCUCUUCCAGUUUGAGGCAGCUGCAUCAUGAUGUGUUGGAUGAGUAAGUGGGCAGUGAGGGAGAGAAGCAAAGUUCAGAAGGGGCUCUGCCUUUACUGCUCCCAUGAAGCCUGUGCCCAUGGAAAUUACACAAUAUGGUUGAUCUCCUUUACAUAAACUCCAGCAUGGUUGAAUUCAAGGAAUAGUGGAGACCCAGGUGCUGAGGAAAAAGGAAGAGACUAAGAAAAGAAAUGGAAGGAACUUGGAAGCAAGAUUGCUUAUGUUGGAUUCUGGAUGAACAGCAAGAUCCAGUUUUCACUGCUGCUGGAAAUUUUUAAACAGCAAGAAGAUAAAUCUGUGAAAAAAGUAAACAAAGCUACAAGAUGGAGUAGACUCUCGUGUGUCCCCAGAGAUGAGUUUCCAUGCAAUUCUGUGUGCUAAAGCAACUGCCAGAGAGGGAAUUGGGGCUUCAAGUAUUUCUCACAGAUUGAGGAGAGAGUCUACAGAGCGCUGAAUUACCAGCUUUCUUUUUCAUUCAAGGAUCAAAUGCUUGUCUUCAAUGGGUUGAGAAGAAAAUUGAAGGGGAAAAGAGGACACCUUCUCCUGUAAAAUUUUUUGCCAAACUUCAACUAACCCCUGACUGUCUUCCAAAAACCCCCUUCAAGGCCUGUCUUCAUUGCACUGCCUACAAAUCACUGUCACCUGGCAGACUUGAUGCUGGAGGCCAUCUGUGACCAU